rnacentral:rRNA from 1 species
UACGUAGGGUGCAAGCGUUAUCCGGAAUUAUUGGGCGUAAAGAGCUCGUAGGCGGUUUGUCGCGUCUGCUGUGAAAACUGGAGGCUCAACCUCGGGCCUGCAGUGGGUACGGGCAGACUUGAGUGCGGUAGGGGAGAAUGGAAUUCCUGGUGUAGCGGUGGAAUGCGCAGAUAUCAGGAGGAACACCGAUGGCGAAGGCAGUUCUCUGGGCCGUAACUGACGCUGAGGAGCGAAAGCGUGGGGAGCGAACAGG